CAGAGCGUAGCUAAACAAGCAUAGCAUCUCCCUUACACUGAGAAGUCCCCCGUGCAAACCGAGGCGCCCUGAU
rnacentral:tRNA from 1 species